UUAUCCAUCCGUAUUCGCUCUUUUAAUCACAGUCAUUGUUUUUUUUUAUAAUUUUAUUUAAUUCUAAUCAAUCAAAAACCUUUUUUUAAAUAUAUUUCUUGAACUUCAACCUAUGUACUCAUCAUGAAUGGAUGUCAACAAGAUUGAAAAAUAAAUAAGCUGAAGCCAUGUGAUAAUAAAUGGAGUUGGAUUUUACGUUUCAUUGUUGGUCUAAAAAAUAGCUGUAAAUGGUUUGAAUUUGAAUUGAAUUUAUCUCAAUUUCACCUUAUAAAUUUAAAAUUUAAACGCUAAAAGAAUAUCAAUAUUUUUACGGAUCGAGUCAAAUCGUGAACUUUUCGAACUAUAUUCCAUUUCAAUAAUCAAUUUGACUUUCUUUUUGGUAUUUGGGUCAUCACUGGUUGAUCAUUUUUUUUUAUCACCAUUACUAAACAUGUUGGAUUACAACAACAACUUAUGUGAUGGAGAGACCGCAAACAACAACAAACGAGCCACCAUCACUAUAACAAUAAUAUCAACUGUUACAAUCCCAACAAUCAAAUGUUAAUCCAUUUUACUCUGCCACACAAUUGACAAAACAAAGUGAUCUGCCAAUUCGUAGUUGCUGUCUUUCACUUUUUUCCCCUGCCUUUCUUGCCUCAAAUUAAUUGCGUGUUAAACCAAUUUUAUAGUUCGUUGCGCGACCCUUAAACUCUGAGUUUGGACAAAAGCAGUUAUCAAAGUUAAUCGUCAAACAGAUCAUCUUCUUUAUAACAAUAGCAAUAAUCACCGUCAUCAUCAAAUCAUUAUUCCCAUUUGGUUCAAUUUAUUACGUUAAUGUUAAUAUCGUAAACAGUCUGAAGCGUUAACUUUAAAGCCGUUUGUGUAUUAAUCAAAUACAGUUUCAGUUAACCUUUAUACUUGUUGCCUUGUGGCCGUACGUUUGUUUGAUUUACAACUCAAGCUUUUCAAAGACGAGAUUCAUCCCGCUAUCUUCAAUGGACGCAAUACUUGAACUAUCGGACUGACUGCAGACAUCAAUGGAUCAAAUAAAAGUCAAUUUAAAUGUAUAAUGAAUCAAUGGAAAGCAUAAUUGCUGUUGAAUAUUCGUCUAUUUGACGUUAAUGUUUUACAUUCAAUUUUGAAUUGUUUUCAAUAAUUUGCGAAACAGUUGUUUAUUGUAAACGUCUGUUUAGUCAAUUAAUUUGGAAUUGAAUUGAUUCCCUUUUGUUCCUUUUUUUGCUUAGUCACAAUUAUUAUUAUAAUUAGAAGGCAAAUUAAGGAGGCAACAUACGAUUGAAAUAAUUUAACCCUCUAGCUUAACUUAAUUGACAAAUCAAUUGGCGUUAAUGGUUGGUGUAACAUGGCUUUUACUUGUUUACCGUAUUUCACCUUAUUAGAGGAACAAGCUGAGCUUUUUGAUUACCAACCGGAAGAAUCCAAUUUCAAUUUCAUCUGAUAACAAGAGAUUGAUAACAAUUGUCUGUAAAUGACAAUAAUUAAGAUGAUUAGCGUUCUUCCACUUUUUGUAUGAAUGUUUGCGCUUUUGUAGUGAUAGAAUGUUGACACAAAUCAACUUUCGUAUUUGACCUUAAUAAUCAUUUAAAUUCUCUUUGAUUAACCACCUUAAGAUUUUAAUUAAACCCCCUUCUAUCUCAAACAAAUUUAACCAUUUUAAAGAAGAAUAAAAGUUAAUCAGAUUUUUUCUUCCUCUA